rnacentral:rRNA from 1 species
GAUGAACGUUGGCGGUGCGCCUAAUACAUGCAAGUCGAACGGAGACUGUAGCAAUACUGUCUUAGUGGCGAACGGGUGAGUAACGCGUGGGUAACCUGCCCAAUAAAAAAAAUAACAUCCGGAAACGGGUGCUAAUACCGCAUAGGUUUCUUGGUCGCAUGAUCGAGAAAGGAAGACGGCCUUUGCGCUGUCGCUUAUGGAUGGACCCGCGUCUGAUUAGCUAGUUGGUGGGGUA